rnacentral:rRNA from 1 species
UACAGAGGUCCCAAGCGUUGUUCGGAUUCACUGGGCGUAAAGGGUGCGUAGGCGGCUUGAUAAGUCUGAUGUGAAAUCCCGCAGCUUAACUGCGGAACUGCAUUGGAUACUGUUUGACUAGAGGAAUGGAGGGGAGACUGGAAUACUUGAUGUAGCAGUGAAAUGCGUAGAUAUCAAGUGGAACACCAGUGGCGAAGGCGAGUCUCUGGACAUUUCCUGACGCUGAGGCACGAAAGCCAGGGGAGCAAACGGG